rnacentral:rRNA from 1 species
GACGAACGCUGGCGGCGUGCUUAACACAUGCAAGUCGAACGGAAAGGCCCUGCUUUUGUGGGGUGCUCGAGUGGCGAACGGGUGAGUAACACGUGAGUAACCUGCCCUUGACUUUGGGAUAACUUCAGGAAACUGGGGCUAAUACCGGAUAGGAGCUCCUGCUGCAUGGUGGUGGUUGGAAAGUUUCAGCGGUUGGGGAUGGACUCGCGGCUUAUCAGCUUGUUGGUGGGGUAGUGGCUUACCAAGGCUUUGACGGGUAGCCGGCCUGAGAGGGUGACCGGCCACAUUGGGACUGAGGUACGGCACAGACUCCUACGGGAGGCAGCAGUGGGGAAUAUUGCACAAUGGGCGGAAGCCUGAUGCAGCAACGCCGCGUGCGGGAUGACGGCCUUCUGGUUGUAAACCGCUUUCGCCUGUGACGAAGCGUGAGUGACGGUAAUGUGUAAAGAAGCACCGGCUAACUACGUG